rnacentral:rRNA from 1 species
AACGAACGCUGGCGGCAGGCCUAACACAUGCAAGUCGAGCGGACCUUUCGGGGUCAGCGGCGGACGGGUGAGUAACGCGUGGGAAUAUGCCCUUCUCUACGGAAUAGUCCUGGGAAACUGGGGGUAAUACCGUAUACGCCCUUUGGGGGAAAGAUUUAUCGGGGAAGGAUUAGCCCGCGUUGGAUUAGGUAGUUGGUGGGGUAAUGGCCUACCAAGCCGACGAUCCAUAGCUGGUUUGAGGGAUGAUCAGCCACACUGGGACUGAGACACGGCCCAGACUCCUACGGGAGGCAGCAGUGGGGAAUCUUAGACAAUGGGGGCAACCCUGAUCUAGCCAUGCCGCGUGAGUGAUGAAGGCCUUAGGGUUGUAAAGCUCUUUCAGCUGGGAAGAUAAUGACGGUACCAGCAGAAGAAGCCCCGGCUAACUCCGUG